AACGGUCUAUACCUGCGGUACCUGCGGAGGGAUCAUUACCAUAUCCAUUUCUAUAAACAAACCAUGUGAACUGUUAAUGUCUUUCCGGGAGAGGUGAUUUUAUUGUGAUUUCAUAGAAAUCGUAUAUAUUAUCCGACAUAUGAUAACUGAUAUCUUUGAAAGGUCCAACAUAUGAUCUUAUCUUUCGCGGUGUCUUGAAUAAGUAUCAUAUGAACCUUCAGAUUGUAAACUUAUGUUCGG
rnacentral:misc_RNA from 1 species